UACAGAGGGGGCAAGCGUUGUUCGGAAUUACUGGGCGUAAAGGGCGCGUAGGCGGCCCGCUAAGUCGAACGUGAAAUCCCCGAGCUCAACUCGGGAACUGCGUCCGAUACUGGUGGGCUUGAAUCCGGGAGAGGGAUGCGGAAUUCCAGGUGUAGCGGUGAAAUGCUUAGAUAUGACAUAGAACACCCAUUACGAAGGCAGCUUACUACACGAUCAUUGACGCUGAGGCACGAAAGCGUGGGGAGCAAACAGG
rnacentral:rRNA from 1 species